rnacentral:rRNA from 1 species
GAUGAACGCCGGCGGCGCGCCUAAUACAUGCAAGUCGAGCGAACGGACGAGAAGCUUGCUUCUCUGAUGUUAGCGGCGGACGGGUGAGUAACACGUGGAUAACCUACCUAUAAGACUGGGAUAACUUCGGGAAACCGGAGCUAAUACCGGAUAAUAUUUUGAACCGCAUGGUUCAAAAGUGAAAGACGGUCUUGCUGUCACUUAUAGAUGGAUCCGCGCUGCAUUAGCUAGUUGGUAAGGUAACGGCUUACCAAGGCAACGAUGCAUAGCCGACCUGAGAGGGUGAUCGGCCACACUGGAACUGAGACACGGUCCAGACUCCUACGGGAGGCAGCAGUAGGGAAUCUUCCGCAAUGGGCGAAAGCCUGACGGAGCAACGCCGCGUGAGUGAUGAAGGUCUUCGGAUCGUAAAACUCUGUUAUUAGGGAAGAACAUAUGUGUAAGUAACUGUGCACAUCUUGACGGUACCUAAUCAGAAAGCCACGGCUAACUACGUGCCAGCAGCCGCGGUAAUACGUAGGUGGCAAGCGUUAUCCGGAAUUAUUGGGCGUAAAGCGCGCGUAGGCGGUUUUUUAAGUCUGAUGUGAAAGCCCACGGCUCAACCGUGGAGGGUCAUUGGAAACUGGAAAACUUGAGUGCAGAAGAGGAAAGUGGAAUUCCAUGUGUAGCAGUGAAAUGCGCAGAGAUAUGGAGGAACACCAGUGGCGAAGGCGACUUUCUGGUCUGUAACUGACGCUGAUGUGCGAAAGCGUGGGGAUCAAACAGGAUUAGAUACCCUGGUAGUCCACGCCGUAAACGAUGAGUGCUAAGUGUUAGGGGGUUUCCGCCCCUUAGUGCUGCAGCUAACGCAUUAAGCACUCCGCCUGGGGAGUACGACCGCAAGGUUGAAACUCAAAGGAAUUGACGGGGACCCGCACAAGCGGUGGAGCAUGUGGUUUAAUUCGAAGCAACGCGAAGAACCUUACCAAAUCUUGACAUCCUUUGACAACUCUAGAGAUAGAGCUUUCCCCUUCGGGGGACAAAGUGACAGGUGGUGCAUGGUUGUCGUCAGCUCGUGUCGUGAGAUGUUGGGUUAAGUCCCGCAACGAGCGCAACCCUUAAGCUUAGUUGCCAUCAUUAAGUUGGGCACUCUAAGUUGACUGCCGGUGACAAACCGGAGGAAGGUGGGGAUGACGUCAAAUCAUCAUGCCCCUUAUGAUUUGGGCUACACACGUGCUACAAUGGACAAUACAAAGGGCAGCGAAACCGCGAGGUCAAGCAAAUCCCAUAAAGUUGUUCUCAGUUCGGAUUGUAGUCUGCAACUCGACUACAUGAAGCUGGAAUCGCUAGUAAUCGUAGAUCAGCAUGCUACGGUGAAUACGUUCCCGGGUCU